GACGAACGCUGGCGGCGUGCCUAAUACAUGCAAGUCGAGCGGACCAAACAGGAGCUUGCUCUUGUUUGGUUAGCGGCGGACGGGUGAGUAACACGUGGGUAACCUGCCCGUAAGACCGGGAUAACUCCGGGAAACCGGAGCUAAUACCGGAUAACACCGAAGACCGCAUGGUCUUUGGUUGAAAGGCGGCUUCGGCUGCCACUUACGGAUGGGCCCGCGGCGCAUUAGCUAGUUGGUGAGGUAACGGCUCACCAAGGCGACGAUGCGUAGCCGGCCUGAGAGGGUGAGCGGCCACACUGGGACUGAGACACGGCCCAGACUCCUACGGGAGGCAGCAGUAGGGAAUCUUCCGCAAUGGACGAAAGUCUGACGGAGCGACGCCGCGUGAGCGAAGAAGGUCUUCGGAUCGUAAAGCUCUGUUGUUAGGGAAGAAGAAGCGCCGUUCGAACAGGGCGGCGCGGUGACGGUACCUAACGAGAAAGCCCCGGCUAACUACGUG
rnacentral:rRNA from 1 species